rnacentral:rRNA from 1 species
GACGAACGCUGGCGGCGUGCUUAACACAUGCAAGUCGAACGGAAAGGCCCUGCUUUUGUGGGGUGCUCGAGUGGCGAACGGGUGAGUAACACGUGAGUAACCUGCCCUUGACUUUGGGAUAACUUCAGGAAACUGGGGCUAAUACCGGAUAGGAGCUCCUGCUGCAUGGUGGGGGUUGGAAAGUUUCGGCGGUGGUGGAUGGACUCGCGGCUUAUCAGCUUGUUGGUGGGGUAGUGGCUUACCAAGGCUUUGACGGGUAGCCGGCAUGAGAGGGUGACCGGCCACAUUGGGACUGAGAUACGGCCCAGACUCCUACGGGAGGCAGCAGUGGGGAAUAUUGCACAAUGGGCGGAAGCCUGAUGCAGCAACGCCGCGUGCGGGAUGACGGCCUUCGGGUUGUGAACAGCUUUCGACUGUGACGAAGCGAGCGUGACGGUAAUGGGUAAAGAAGCACCGGCUAACUACGUG